rnacentral:lncRNA from 1 species
UUUUUUUUUUUUUUUUGCAUAUGGAGGUUCUCAGGCUAGGGGUUGAAUCAGAGCUACAGCUGCCGGCCUACGCCACAGCCACAGCCACGCCAGAUCCCCGACACACUGAGUGAGACCAGGAAUGAACCCUCAUCCUCAAGGAUACUAGUCAGAUUCCUUUCCGCUACGCCAGAGUGGGAACUCCCUAGAUAGGGACAUUUACAGGAACAUUCAUGUAUUCAGGAAACCGCUCAAGGGAGUUCCCGUCGUGGCACAGUGGUUAACAAAUCCGACUAGGAACCAUGAGGAACUCCAAAAAAAAUUUUUUUAAUUAAAAAUUAAAAAAAAAAUCCUCCUAUAAGCCUCAGUACUAUAAAACUGUCAAUUUUCCUUAAUCUAUAAAUAUGUAAAUCAGAAUACUGGAGGGAACUUGAUGAAACGGCUCCAAGUUCAUAUGGAAGAAUCAGCAUGCAACAAUAGGCAACUAAACUUUGAAAAGUAUAUGAAAGCGGGGAUUUGUCCUGGCUUAUGUUAAGUGUAUUAAAAGGCUACUGUAAUUAAACUGUGCUACUGUUGUGAGAUGCACAGAUCAACAGAACUGCAUAAAAAGUCCAGAAAUAAACACCAGUGAGGAAGGAGAAGAAAGGCAGGAUUUUAAAUAAUAAAAAGAUGCUUUAGAAAAGACAGAUUAGCCAAUAAAUAGCGUCGAGGCACUUAGGGGAAAAAAUCAGUCUUCCCCAAAUAAAUGCUAGAUGUGAAAAUGAAACGUACGUCCUAAGUGAAGACAGUAUAUAGUCUUGGCAUAGGAAAGGGUUUUCUAAGCCAGACACAAAAGCUCGUGCGCUUUGAUAAACACCGUUCAGCUGGACCACAUAAAAUUUUUUAAUUUCCGAAAGUCAAAAGCAUACAUCACUUGAAAACCACAUCCAUACACACACACACCCAUGCCCACAACCCUAUGUGCUCACACCUCACCCAGCCUCAGUGGAGCAUAAAGUAAAUAAAAGACCAGAUGGGACGAGUCUGUCGCGAUAGAAAUGACAAGAGGCUAGUGGGUCUAGAAUAACAUGUAAAGGAGCUCCCUACACAACAGGACCUACAGGAAACCGGCAGCAGGCAGCGCCCAGCCGGUGAGCCCCAGACUCGGCUCUCCCCGCGUCACCAGUGAAAGGCUGGGAUGAGGCCUGGCACACAGCUGCACUCUGCCGGCACCAGAUGUCAUCAGUGCUGUGGCCACCACACAGGGAAGGACAGCCAGCAGAGCCUGUGGAGGGUCCCCGACAAGCCCAAAUGGGUGUCUGUCUACAGAAGCCCUUACGUGAGUUCACGGUGUUAGAAAAAACACGUCUGUCAAUCAGGGAUCUGGGUUAGACUUUUCAAAAACCAAGCACUGGGAAAAAGCAUCAGCUCCCUUAGUAGUGACUGAAGAGCUGGCCUUGACCGGCUUUGAAAGCUUCUACCAGCUGCCCCUGCCGCAGGCCAGAGGGAUGGCAGCCCAGACCCUGCCC